rnacentral:rRNA from 1 species
GACGAACGCUGGCGGCGUGCUUAACACAUGCAAGUCGAGCGGAGCGGCGAACGGGUGAGUAACGCGUGAGUAACUGCCCCCCCCUCUGGGAUAACAGUUGGAAACGGCUGCUAAUACUGGUUAGUGGUGGAUGACUCGCGUCCUAUUAGCCUGUUGGUGGGGUAGUGGCCUACCUAGGCGACGACGGGUAGCCGGCCUGAGAGGGCGCCCGGCCACAUUGGGCUGAGAUACGGCCCAAACGCCUACGGGAGGCAGCAGUGGGGAAUAUUGCACAAUGGGGGAAACCCUGACGCAGCAACGCGCGUGUGUGAGGAAGGCCUUCGGGUUGUAAAGCACUUUCAGCGGGGAAGCUAAUACGUAUCAACUGUGACGUUACUCACAGAGGAAGCACCGGCUAACUCCGUGCCAGCAGCCGCGGUAAUAC